UACGUAGGUGGCAAGCGUUGUCCGGAAUUAUUGGGCGUAAAGAGCGCGUAGGCGGCUCGUUAAGUGUGAAGUGAAAUCUCUAGGGCUCAACCCAGAAACUGCUUUACAUACUGGCGAGCUGGAGUGAUGAAGAGGUUUGUGGAAUUCCUGGUGUAACGGUGAAAUGUGUUGAUAUCAGGAGGAACACCCAUGGCGAAGGCAGCAAACUGGUCAUCAACUGACGCUGAGGCGCGAAAGCGUGGGUAGCAAACAGG
rnacentral:rRNA from 1 species